CCCAUUUCCUCCUAUGUGUGCCUCUCAAUGGCCCAAUGCAACUGGAAGUAAGAAGAGAACUUGGGCAGUGUAAUGCCAGAGGACAGCCUCACAGGGUGCAAAGCAGAGCUUGAAGGGUAGAGAAUAGGCUUGAUUUGAGGAGGUUGGGGGCAAAUAGAGAAUGCCUAGUCCAGGACCCAUUUUAAAUUAUUAACAUGGUGAAACCCUGUCUCUACUAAAAAUAUAAAACUUAGCCGGGCGCGGUGGCGCAUGCCUGUAAUCCCAGCUGUUUGGGAGGCUGAGGCAGGAGAAUUGAAGAGUGAGCUGAGAUCACACCACUGCACUCCAGCCUGGAUGACAGAGCAAGACUGUCUCGGAGUGGGUGGGGGCAAUCUCUCUCUGGGCAGAGUUCCAACUUACAACAACAAAGGCAGAAUGCAAUCUAUUAUCUGAUUUAUCCUUAUAGCCCCCACUGUAACUAAUUUUGUUAUUUCUCCGUAGACUUGUUAGACCAGAAUUAAUUCCUCUUCUACAAUGUUCUGAGCCCUUGCAGUGAGAAAGCUAGGGUGCCAGUG
rnacentral:lncRNA from 1 species